UGUUCAUUCUCCAGUCUCCAUGGUCCCCUUAGAGGCUGGUUAAUGGGCAGCUCUCUAAUGUUACAGGAAUGAGACUUCUGGCCCAGGGUGGGAAGCCAUUUGCUGACAAGUGACUAUGUAGAAGUCUGCUCACUAGAAGCUCAUAGCCUCUAGAUCACGAUUUCUUAAGGAGUAGUGUAAAAUCAUUAACACAAGGUAUUCAAAUGGACUACAAGCCUAAGUUUCAGUUUAUAAUAAUGUGGGGUUGUUUCUUUUGUCUUUCCAUUACAAUUUUUGAUUUUGACCUCCCUCCAAAAGAUGUUUUUACUUUUCUUUAAAAUAGGCAAAGUUCCACACUUUUUUUGGUUUUGUGUUUUUUCAAUCAUAAAUGGAAGCAGAUUGGGAUAGACUUGAUGUGACUCAAGAAACAUUAAGUUUCUUCCAUGUGUGUGGCACUGUCCAAGCCCUUAUAUAAUGCAAAGUUGAGUGACCACCUGGUUUUCACCCUCAAGAAGUAUAUAGUCCAGGGGUUUCCCUGGUGGCGCAGUGGUUAAGAAACCACCUGCCAAUGCAGGGGACAUGGGUUUGACCCCUGGUCCGGGAAGAUCCCACAUGCCGCAGAGCAACUAAACCCGCAUUCCACAGCUAGUGAAGCCUAGAGGCUGUGCUCCGCAUUGAGAAGCCCAUGCACCGCAACAAAGAGUAGCCGCCGCUCACCACAACUAGAGAAAGCCUACACGCAGCAACGAAGACCCAACACAGCCAAAAGAGACGUGGGUUCAAGCCCUGGUCCAGGAAGAUCCCACAUGCUGUGGAGCAACUAAGCACAUGUGCCACAACUACUGAGCCUGCACUCUAGAGCCCGUGAGCCACAACUACUGAGCCUAUGCACCACAACUAUUGAAGCCUCCAUGCAUACAGCCUGUGCUCCGCAAGGAGAGAAGCCACCAAAAUGAGGAGCCCUCGCACUGCAAUGAAAAGCAGCCCCUGCUCGCCGCAACUAGAGAAAGCCCAUGUGCAGCAACGAAGACCCAAUGCAGACAAAAAAAAAAAAAGAUCACCCUCAACAAUGCAAGUGGGCAUGAUCCAAUCCACUGCGAGCCUGAAUAGAACAGAAAGGCUGAGGAAGGGCAAAUUUGCUCUCUUCUUGAGCUGGGACCUUCAUCUUCUCCUGCCCUGGGACAUCGGAGCUCCUGGUUUUUGGGCCUUUGGAGUUGGACUGGGACUGAACCAUUGGUUUCCUGGGCCUCCAAGCUUGCAUAUGGUGGAUAAUGGGACUUCUCAGCUUCGUAAUCACUUGAGCCAAUUCAUAUAAUACACGUUUCUUUAUAUGUA